GGGGGGGGAGGUAGCAGAUUCCACUGCUACAAAACACGUUGGCAACGAACACAGACCACAAUUUGCCACAGAAAUGAAACACAGUAAGACUUAAGGGACAGAACAAGCCAGGGGUAUUGAACCACACUGAACCCAGAAAGAGAUGAUGUGCGAUAUCUGAUAGCUGCAGCAGGAUAACAUAAAAAGUGCAUUUAGUCCGAUUCAUUCAGCUGCUAAAGUGAUGGGGGAAGGCAGAGGGAGCGGGGGAGGUAAGAUGGCCACUGCCACUUUAACACAUUCAAUAAUUUAACAGACAACCUGACGCAGGUUAAGUUGGACUUGCUGGGAAUCAAUUUUACAUUUUAAACUUUGCAGGCCUAUUUUGGCUACGUUGGGAUUUUAAUUUUUUUAAAACACAGUCUCAAGGACUCAGUAUUGAGUAUCACAAGGACUCAGACUGUGUUAUUUGUUUUUAAGCAUCUCAAUAUGGGAAUUUCUCUUUUAUUUUGGGGUCUCUACCUGAGAACACUACAUAUUUUAACCCAAGACGUUAUAAAAACGCAAGUUUUAAGAAACCGAGCUGUGCAGAAAGGAAGCGCGUCUGAGGCUCGGUUUUCACACACUCGCAAGAACUGGACUGUGACACCCCAGAUACGAGUUUAACCCAUUAGCCACCCGCACGACAUUAUCACACCUGUAGACAGGGAAGCGGGUUAGUUUUAGACGCGUCCCCCCAUUACCUCCGCUCCCCCAGCCCGUGCUGAGGGGCCGGGGCGCUGCCGCUGGGGCCCCGGCGCCUGCCCUCCGCGGCGGGACCGGCCGGGCCGGGGGGGCCGCCAGCGGUACCCCAGGGCGGGGGGCGGCGGGGGGGCUCCUCCCCGCGCCGCUCCGCCGGGGCGGCACUUCCUCCCGGUGCCGGUGCAGGGGGAGGCCAGGGGUGUUUUUCCAGGCUGGAUCUCCACCUCGCCCGAGGAGGUGGAUGACAUUUAAGAGCUCGCCCCCGUGCCCGGGGGAAGGCGGCGGGACGAGGUGCUUUCGCCCGCCCGGCAGCCCUCCUGGCAGGGGAAGGUUUAGCGCUUACCCUCGCCCCUCCGCCCCUGCUGAAGGCUCUCGCCGGGCCGGGCCGCAGUCCCACGGGCUCCCACCCUCUCUGGCCCCGGGGCGGACCGGGCGCAACCCCACACACGGCGCGGAGCCGAGGCCGGGGGCGCCCGGAGGCAAAGCGGCCUCAGCCCCGCCAGCACCCCCGGGGAAGAGGGACGCCGGCUUAUGUCCCGGUGCUUUACCUCUGUACACCGGGGAGCUGGGGCUCCGUCUCUCAGGCAAUUAGCAUGAGGAGGAUGCUUGUGGCCAAAUUUGUGUGGUUGCUGUACAUCAAAGUGAAGCUGAUUGAAACAGUGUAAAAUGGCACAACAAACAGCACCAACCUUUAUUUGGAGCUUGGCACCACUGUUCCUUCCCCAGCCAAAGGGAUGCUGUUGAGUGACACAGUGCACUCCACAACCACUACUGGGAAGUAAAUGUGCUCUCUCUACUUCUUUAAAGCAGGAUAAUAUUCUCUUGUUAAAUAGAUUUUGCAGCCUGGUAAGAAGAAAAAAAUGUAUUAGAGCACCACAUUGUUUAAAUAAUUUUAGGGUUUGCUUCUUUCUAAGUGACUGAUACUUUUCAUAAGGAUGAUCCAUUUUGAGAGCUUCUGUGACGGGUUACAGGGACAGAGCAGAGUCACAGCACUGAGACAAAAUACUGGAAAUAAUUAUUAUUUCCAGGCAGGUAAUAUAUUCGCCUGUAGAACAGAUACUUACUUGUAAAUGUGGUUUCUUGGUGUGACAGCUAUAAAACAGGCUUUAACAAUUCACCUGAUGCUAAUUUACAUACAAUAAAAGUGUAUUUACAUAACACUAAGGGACAAACCUGUAAAAAUGAGGAAGUAUGCAGUUAGCUUAAAAGUGUACCAUUGAGGUGGCAUGGUAUUUAAGUGAAAUACAUGAUGCAUUUCUGGUUUAACUGUAUGUUUCCGUGGGUUUGUGGGUUCAUGUUAGGGCCUUAAUUGCAUUUAAAAGCAGGUUUGGGGAUGUGAAAUUCCUUUGUAGCUUUUACAUCCCAAAUUAAAAUAGAAUGCAAAACUUAGGCAUCAUUAAAAGAGAGACAAAGGAAAGGGAACUGCUGGUAGGUCUCAGCAGCUGGGAUAAUUUCCCACAGGGAGAGGUGGAAACCUUAUUCCAUGAGUCAUUUAAUACCGAAUAAACAAAACACUGGAGAAUAAAUUGUAAGGCAUGAUUUUUUUUGUUGUUCAUUGACAGAGGGAGGGCUACUCAGCUUAAUGGAGCUUUUCUUUUUUUUUAAGUUCUGCAGUAGUAGAAAGCAUGGACAAUAUUAUGGAUAUAGUUUGUAGUUUUUUCUCAUUAUUAUUUUGGUUCUUGCUGUAACAUAGUAAAUGCAUGAGUAACUUUAGCCCCUGCACCAUGAAGUAAAACUUUAUUGGCAAGAUUGAGCCCUCAAGAGUUGCUGAAAUUCAGGAUCCUCUUAGAAACUGCCCAUCACUGAUGUACUUACAUAGUGUUUUAAUUACAGUUCCAUAAAAAGUUUUGCACACAUGACUUUCAGAGCUCCUGCUGUUAAAUGUUACGCUUUAGUGACAAAGCUCUAAGGAAGGCAGCUGAGUAAGCUCUGUGUGCUGGCAUGGUGUGCUCUUGGUCUCCAGUGAAAUCCAGAAGACUGAUAGAAGGCAACAAAUAACCCCUUUGCAUCGGUACAGUAGGAGCAUGUCUGUAAUCAAACAUAAUUAUGGAAUCACUACCAGUCAGAGCAGUUUUAUUCUUGCCUGUAAUCAAGAGCAGCAUUAUUGCAAUAUUUAUUGUUCUCAAGAGUAAUCUGAGAUUUAUGGGUCCUUGGAAAGAAAAGCAUUAUUUGGCAAAUCUAUCUAUAUGUGUUGUUCGCCCAUAAAGAAGAGUUCUUUCUCUAAGAGAUCAGAGCAGUUCCAAUGAAAUACAUCUUUUGGAUAAUUUCUUCAGAUUCUUCAUAGUCUUAAAGGACAAAAAGCCCACACAUUACUUGAAGAAAUUCUUUCCAAGCUUCUCAUGUGCCAUCUUUGACUGGCCAGCCAGGCAGAUGUAGGCACAUGUAAUUUUCCUGAUGCUUGACAUAUAAUGUAACCACUACUGGUGGAGAUGGAAUUACUACAUUCAAAUAAACAGCUGAAAUCAGUGUCACCAUACAGAAACCAACUCUAAUGUAAUUGUUCAGUUGUUACAAGCCCAGGAUAAAACGUCUCAAGGGAAAGACCUUCUCCUAUAGUACAGAGUUAUGGCUUUGGCUCUUCCAGCAGGGUGUAUCUCUGUUACGUGAGAAGGAACGUUAAACAGUAAAUGUAUUUGGAAAAAGGAUAUGUGAGAUAACUUAUCAUAAGAAGUAUAGAGAAAGGGAGUAAGAAGUGCAGUUAAUCAUGCAAGGAUAGAAGAAGAUGCAUCUCUUAAUGUUGGAAAGAAGAGGGAAAAAAUUUUUUGUGACUUCUUAUCUCACAAGGGGAUGGAAGACAGCUCUGAAUUCAGAAGUGGAUGUGGGUGGGAAAACAAUAGAGGCAGAAAAAGCUUGUUAUUUUAGAAAUGUUACCUCAAAAGGUUUGGAAACCCAUCAAUAAAACCACCUCAAAGCUC